AGAUUGAACGCUGGCGGCAUGCCUUACACAUGCAAGUCGAACGGCAGCACGGGAGCAAUCCUGGUGGCGAGUGGCGAACGGGUGAGUAAUAUAUCGGAACGUGCCCAGUCGUGGGGGAUAACGUAGAGAAAUUUACGCUAAUACCGCAUACGAUCCAAGGAUGAAAGCGGGGGACCGUAAGGCCUCGCGCGACUGGAGCGGCUGAUAUCAGAUUAGCUUGUUGGUGAGGUAAUGGCUCACCAAGGCGACGAUCCGUAACUGGUCUGAGAGGAUGAUCAGUCACACUGGAACUGAGACACGGUCCAGACUCCUACGGGAGCAGCAGGUGGGAAUA
rnacentral:rRNA from 1 species